rnacentral:miRNA from 1 species
GUGUGAGAGAGAGAGAGAGAGAGAGAGAGAGAGAGAGAUUUUGUUUCUGCUUGCCUGCCUGCCUGCCUGCCUACGUGCCUCUCUCUCUCUCUCUCUCUCUCUCUCUCUCUCCCUC